CACGCCCAGGAAGCAGGGGGCGCCACGCCCAGGAAGCAGGAGGUGCCACGCCCAGGAAGCAGGAGGCGCCACGCCCAGGAAGUAGGGGGCACCACAUGGAGACAGCAGGGAGGCUGCCUCACUCUUACCUCCCACCCUGAAUGAAAGAGGGCGCCUAGGUUCUCCUUGCAUACGGUUGCUGAACCUGAAGUAAACACUGCAGCUUGUCAUACUGCUACUCAUGUUCCCUACGUCUAACUGUUCUUAUGGAAGUCACUUCUUUGCUGUUCGAGAUCUCCAUGAAAACCCAACUGAGGGAAGUGAAAGAAGUCUGGAAGUACCAAAUACCUCCCAAUGCCUUCCUUCACAGAUGGCAGAGACUGGAUUUGCAGCUCACUCCACUUUGUAUUACUGCCCUCCCUGGGUUCAAUUCAAUGGAAAAAGAUGCACGCUUGCCUAGGACUUUACUUCAGUACUUAAUAUAUUGGGAUAUUAUACGUUUGUGAGAAAGGCCAAAGCAGACAUAUGUCUGGGAGCCGGAAAGAGCAUCUAUUACAUGUUGGUCAGGGAAUCCGGUGGAAUGUCAGAACUACCAUCUUGGCAAUGGGAAGAAAACAGGCACGUUAAAUACAAAUGCAACAAAUAUUUAUGACUGUGCUAAGCACUGGAGGAGAUGCCAUUCCUAGAUAAAAAGGAGUCCCUGCCCUCAUGGGGCUCAUGGUAGGGAGAGAAGACACUGAGGUAUGGCAGGAGUAAAUUCACAUAAAUAGCUACAAAAUGCAGUAUUA
rnacentral:lncRNA from 1 species